rnacentral:lncRNA from 10 species
CUCACGUACAUGCAGCGCAGUAAGAGGAGCAUGUAGAGUGUGGGGACACAGGCCAUGGACCCUACUCACCAGUCCUUAACCACGAUGUCCGGCCGGAAUGUGUCUAGUAGCUCCUCCCAGUAGCCCUCGGCUACAAGGUCCACCAGCUGGGACUUGAGGCACAUUCUGGGGAGCAGAGUUGGGGGCUUGCAUACCUGGGUGUGCUCUGCAUGGCCCCCCCCCUCACCCAGGCCUUGGCAGCCCCUGUGAGCCCAGGGAGGUGGUUUGGGGACCUAGGGUACCCCUUGGCCGCUGCGGGACAGGCACUGGCUGGGGCUGACUCUGGCUUUUCCUCCAGUGCAGGAGGGAGUUUGACCCACUUGUGCCUGGGCGGCAUUUGAUCCCAGUCCAAAGGCCCAUUGUUCCAGGGCACUUUUGUAAACUCAAGUUCCUAGCUUACGGACAGAUGCCUGUAGAUAGCCCUGGCUUAUCUUAACUGCCCAAUGGACUCCUGGCCUGCUUCAGUGAUCCCCACCCCCACUGUCCAUUAACACAGCACUGAGUGAUUUCAGGAAGCAGUGACUCUGGGCAAGUUUUGGGGCCACCUCCCUCGAGCUUCGCAGAGAGGACUUCCCUUAGGAAGACUUUGCCUGAGACUUGGCAAAGGUGUCCUGACCCUCUGUCCCCUCCACGCAAGCCUGGUAGGUUCAGUUUGCCUUACUCGUAGGAUGUGACAAAAUACUUCUUGACUUUGGGGUCAGGAAAAUCUGUCCCGUGGGCUCCAGGGAGGCUCUCCACCUUCCAGCGGUCCCCACCAUUGAAAUCAAUUUGCCAUGCAAACAUAUCCUCUAGGAAGAACAGAAGCCAAGGUGAGACCCCCUGUGUAAAUCCAAAGUCCAGCCCUCCCCACUUAGUCCCAGGAGGGCGGGAGGGAGGGUGGUUGGCGUUAGUGACCUUCUUGGGAGGCAGGACUUGCUCAUGCUCAGGUCUCUGCGGCUGUGGACACCAAAGGGUUAACCAGCUUGUUCCUUCUCAAGGGCAUUGUGUGGCCAAGGUACCCCACCAGCCCAAGUGUACCCCAACUGCACCUUGGAGCACCCCUACAAAGCACCCCUCCAACACAUUCCCAACUGUCCUCACCAUAUCAGCUCUGAUCUGACUCUGUCCCUCCCACUCAGUCCCAAACUGGCCUCACUCCUAACACGCAGCUGGAGAAAAGAAUGCGUGUUACCAGAAAUUCUAAACCAACCCCUUCCUCACUUCCAUGUUGCGGUGGAACUCUGGGAAAUACCCAAGUAUCAGUUCUCAAAAAAUUACGAGAGGCCUGUGAGAGUACUGUCCUCAAAGACUAAUGUGAACCACCGCGCCUUGUGAAAAGUGUUACAGGGCAUGAAAUGGGGGUGCUAUGCUAGAGGUGGAGAGGGCUGUUUUUAGAUUGGGAGCACAGGGCAGGUCUCUGAACUGAGACCUGAAGAAUGAGAAGGAACCAAGGAAGUGAGGUGGGUGUUUAGGGUUAGAGAAUAUUCCAGGUAGUG